rnacentral:rRNA from 1 species
UAACGGCCUACCAAGGCGACGAUACGUAGCCGACCUGAGAGGGUGAUCGGCCACACUGGAACUGAGACACGGUCCAGACUCCUACGGGAGGCAGCAGUAGGGAAUCUUCCGCAAUGGGCGAAAGCCUGACGGAGCAACGCCGCGUGAGUGAUGAAGGUCUUCGGAUCGUAAAGCUCUGUUGUUAGGGAAGAACAAAUGUGUAAGUAACUGUGCACAUCUUGACGGUACCUAACCAGAAAGCCACGGCUAACUACGUGCCAGCAGCCGCGGUAAUACGUAGGUGGCAAGCGUUAUCCGGAAUUAUUGGGCGUAAAGCGCGCGUAGGCGGUUUUUUAAGUCUGAUGUGAAAGCCCACGGCUCAACCGUGGAGGGUCAUUGGAAACUGGAAAACUUGAGUGCAGAAGAGGAAAGUGGAAUUCCAUGUGUAGCGGUGAAAUGCGCAGAGAUAUGGAGGAACACCAGUGGCGAAGGCGGCUUUCUGGUCUGCAACUGACGCUGAUGUGCGAAAGCGUGGGGAUCAAACAGGAUUAGAUACCCUGGUAGUCCACGCCGUAAACGAUGAGUGCUAAGUGUUAGGGGGUUUCCGCCCCUUAGUGCUGCAGCUAACGCAUUAAGCACUCCGCCUGGGGAGUACGGUCGCAAGACUGAAACUCAAAGGAAUUGACGGGGACCCGCACAAGCGGUGGAGCAUGUGGUUUAAUUCGAAGCAACGCGAAGAACCUUACCAAAUCUUGACAUCCUUUGACCGCUCUAGAGAUAGAGUUUUCCUCUUCGGAGGACAAAGUGACAGGUGGUGCAUGGUUGUCGUCAGCUCGUGUCGUGAGAUGUUGGGUUAAGUCCCGCAACGAGCGCAACCCUUGAACUUAGUUGCCAUCAUUCAGUUGGGCACUCUAAGUUGACUGCCGGUGACAAACCGGAGGAAGGUGGGGAUGACGUCAAAUCAUCAUGCCCCUUAUGAUUUGGGCUACACACGUGCUACAAUGGACAAUACAAAGGGCAGCGAAACCGCGAGGUCAAGCAAAUCCCAUAAAGUUGUUCUCAGUUCGGAUUGUAGUCUGCAACUCGACUACAUGAAGCUGGAAUCGCUAGUAAUCGUAGAUCAGCAUGCUACGGUGAAUACGUUCCCGGGUCUUGUACACACCGCCCGUCACACCACGAGAGUUUGUAACACCCGAAGCCGGUGGAGUAACCAUUUUGGAGCUAGCCGUCGAAGGUGGGACAAAUGAUUGGGGUGAAGUCGUAACAAGGUAGCCGUAUCGGAAGGUGCGGCUGGAUCACCUCCUUUCUA